rnacentral:lncRNA from 1 species
ACAAAAGCUGUAUKGAGCAGCACUGGUGUAAAUAGCUGUAUUCGGUGAUUCUGUGCAAAUUUACCCUCAGUUCAGACGUGAAGCAGGAGUGAUACAGGCCUUCGGCAAGAUCUGGGCUCCUGAAGCUGCUGGAAGGACUCCCGCAGGUCUUGCUGCAUACCYGCUACAGUAGGUGUUUGCUUGUGCUGAUUAUUUUAGCAUCCUUCGUCUUGCUAAGUAGUUAACUCUUGGAUGGCUGUGAUGAGGAAUGGUUCUGUAACGGUGUCCUGCACGAGUGCACUAAUCGUGAAUGAUGGCAUUUUGCUGGCGGAGGAGCGGCUCCGCGUGCAGGAGCCGGCGUAGGUGCACCGUGAGAGUGCUGAGCACCCGGGCUGUCAUUCCCAGGUGCACGGUCAGCUGCAAGGACUUCACGUYUCCGGGACUAGCAGCUUAGGUGGCUCUUCAAUUCACUUGAGAAAUACCCACCCGGGUAACAUCCCGCGACCCUUUCUGAUUGCCGCUUCUGUGAUUUCUAUAGAGGUGGAGCUACGCUCUGUGUGACCUGUUGCUUCUCGCUGCGAUCAGCUGGCCUCAAGGUAAAGAGCUUUUAUUUAUUUAUUUAUUUAUUUAUUUAUUU